GCAAGUCGAGGGGUAACAUGGUCUUCGGACUGAUGACGACCGGCGCACGGGUGCGUAACGCGUAUGCAACCUACCCUAAACAGGGGGAUAGCCCAGAGAAAUUUGGAUUAAUACUCCAUGGUACUAUAAGGAGGCAUCUUCUAAUAGUUAAAGAUUUAUUGGUUUGGGAUGGGCAUGCGUAAGAUUAGCAAGUUGGUGAGGUAACGGCUCACCAAUGCAACGAUCUUUAGGGGGUCUGAGAGGAUGGUC
rnacentral:rRNA from 1 species